CAACAACAGUGUACUUUUAUGCAUGAAUACAAUAAUGCCUACUGUAAACCUACCCAGGCGUUUACCACAAGCUCUGGUAAAAUACCAAGCUUUUCUUAUGGAAGGCUUUCACCAUUAUUGAUGCAGGACAGACAGGAGCAAAUUGACAGUAACCACAUUUCCAGCGUUCAUCUUCAGGAGGGUAAGUUGCUUCUUGUUCUCCAAGCCAAAACUCAAGACACGAGCGAAUUUGAUUCGUUAGCCAGUCAUGAUCAUAUGUGAAUUUAUCUUCACCAAGCAAUGAAUGAUCUUUCUGAUACUCAUAUCUGACAUAGAGCACACACAACCAUAGAAUAAGGGCUCAUGUAGUGCAAACAAACUGCUAGUCAUUCUGACUGGCAAAUUUAUUAACAUUAUGAUCUAUAACUAUUUCUUGCCUUUCAAAA